GUUUGAUCCUGGCUCAGAGCGAACGUUAGCGGCGGGCUUAACACAUGCAAGUCGAACGCGAAAGGGCUUCGGCCCCGGUAGCGUGGCGUCCGGGUGAGUAACACGUAGGGAAUCUACCCUGGAGUGGGGGAUAACGUUCCGAAAGGAACGCUAAUACCGCAUGAGACCACGACCACCACGGUGGUUGGGGUCAAAGGUGGCCUCUAUACAUAAGCUAUCGCUCCAGGAUGGCCCUGCGGCCCAUCAGCUAGUUGGUAGGGUAACGGCCUACCAAGGCGAAGACGGGUAGCUGGUCUGAGAGGAUGAUCAGCCACACUGGCACUGAAACACGGGCCAGACUCCUACGGGAGGCAGCAGUGGGGAAUAUUGGUCAAUGGACGCAAGUCUGAACCAGCCACGCCGCGUGAGUGAUGAAGGCCUUCGGGUUGUAAAGCUCUGUGGGGAGGGAAGAAAACGUCUGGUUCGAAUAGGGCCAGGCCUUGACGGUACCUCCUUAGCAAGCACCGGCUAACUCUGUGCCAGCAGCCGCGGUAA
rnacentral:rRNA from 1 species